GACGAACGCUGGCGGCGUGCCUAAUACAUGCAAGUCGAGCGGACUGAUUAAGAGCUUGCUCUUAUGACGUUAGCGGCGGACGGGUGAGUAACACGUGGGCAACCUGCCCUGUAGAUCGGGAUAACACCGAGAAAUCGGUGCUAAUACCGGGUAAUAUCUGAGAUCACAUGAUCUUAGGUUAAAAGAUGGCUCCGGCUAUCACUACAGGAUGGGCCCGCGGCGCAUUAGCUAGUUGGUAAGGUAAUGGCUUACCAAGGCGACGAUGCGUAGCCGACCUGAGAGGGUGAUCGGCCACACUGGGACGGAGACACGGCCCAGACUCCUACGGGAGGCAGCAGUAGGGAAUCUUCCGCAAUGGACGAAAGUCUGACGGAGCAACGCCGCGUGAGUGAUGAAGGGUUUCGGCGCGUAAAGCGCUGUUGUUAGGGAAGAAACAGUACCGAACGAACUAGGUCGGUGCCUUGACGGUACCUAACCAGAAAGCCACGGCUAACUACGUG
rnacentral:rRNA from 1 species